rnacentral:rRNA from 1 species
GAUUUCUGACACGACGCGCCUGGUCCGCCCCGUCAAGGUGUGUGAGUACCGGUGUGCGUCUGUCAUCCUUCCGCAGAGCGUGCCUACCCUUCACUGGGCCGGGUACGCGAUGUGGAUCGUUUACUUUGAAAAAAUUAGAGUGUUUAAAGCAAGCUUACGCUGUGAAUACAUUAGCAUGGAAUAAUAAGAUAGGACUUUGGUUCUAUUUUGUUGGUUUCUAGGACUGAAGUAAUGAUUGAUAGGGAUAGUUGGGGGUGCUAGUAUUCAACGGCCAGAGGUGAAAUUCUUGGAUUCGUUGAAGACUAACUUAUGCGAAAGCAUU